rnacentral:rRNA from 1 species
UCACCUAACCACAACAAGUUUAAAAUAUUAAACCACACCCUGUUAACCCAACUCGGGUGCGCUACUUAGAGAGAUUAAAAUCUGUAAAAGGAACUAGGCAAACUCAAGGCCCGAGUGUUUACCAAAAACAUAGCCUUCAGCCAGCCAAGUAUUGAAGGUGAUGCCUGCCCAGUGACAUAAUGUUUAGACGGCCGCGGUAUCCUAACCGUGGGAAGGUAGCGCAAUCAAUUGUCCCAUAAAUCGAGACUUGUAUGAAUGGCUAAACGAGAUCUUAACUGUCUCUUACAGAUAAUCAGUGAAAUUGAUCCCCCUGUCCAAAAGCAGGGAUACACCCAUAAGACGAGAAGACCCUGUGGAACUUAAAAAUCAACAGCCCACUGUUUAAAAACCCAAAACUUAGCAGGUUUACUCCCCUAUAAUGUUGGCUGACUUUUUUUGGUUGGGGCGACCUUGGAGAAAAACAGACCCUCCAAAAAUAAGACCACACCUCUUAACCAAGAACAACCCCUCAACGUACUAAUAGUAACCAGACCCAAUAUAAUUGAUAAAAUGGACCAAGCUACCCCAGGGAUAACAGCGCAAUCUCUUCUAAGAGCCCACAUCGACGAGGAGGUUUACGACCUCGAUG